CCUACGGGAGGCAGCAGUAGGGAAUAUUGGUCAAUGGGCGGGAGCCUGAACCAGCCAUGCCGCGUGCGGGAGGAAGGCCCUACGGGUCGUAAACCGCUUUUACACGGGAACAACCGCAGGUACGUGUACCUGCCUGAGUGUACCGUGGGAAUAAGGAUCGGCUAACUCCGUGCCAGCAGCCGCGGUAAU
rnacentral:rRNA from 1 species